AUAGAGUUGAAGAAAAACAAUUAGUAGCCAAUAGCUUGUAGAUGAUAUUUAAAGGCAUGGGACAGAAUGAGCUCAUCUGAGGAAAGAAGACAGUUACAGAACAGGGCCAAGGGCCAAGCUGUGGCCUUAAGCCAAUAUCUUGAGGUCAGGAAAAGAAGAAAUUCAACGUAAGGAAUGACAGUGAGCUAGGAAAAGCAGAAAGGAUGUGACCAACUGUGUCAAAUGCUGCUGAGACGUAAAACAUGAUGAAGUCCAAGAAUUGACUGGAGGGUCUGGUAGGACAGAGGUCAUUGCUGCUGAUCUAAAUGAAAGCUGUUUUGUAGCAAUGCUGGAGAUGCAAGCUUCAGUAAAGAUGGCCGAUACUAGGCAUGCAUGUGCAUACAGAAAAGAGAGUAACCCAAUAGUGAGGAAGAAAUUGAUGCUGCAGGAGAGAGGGAAUAAUUGCCGAAGCAAAGAUCUUGAGGUACUGAGAAAGGAUGACCCUAAUUUCCUUAAUGCUGCACCAGGAGGAUACCUCAGCCCCUGUAAUGGAAUUAAAGAAAUAUUGGAGCUGAUUCUGGUCCACCAAGAAGGGGAUGUGUUUCAGGCCUGCUUCCACUGAGGGACUGGAGGCUCCUUGAGCAAAAUUAUCUACCUCUUCACCUUUGGAUCUUUCACAGUUCCCAGUUCGGUGUACUACAGAUUGUACUUGCUAAAUAAAAAAUCAUUGUCAUGGUUUACCUAAAUGCCUGAAGUGUUAAUAAUAAAAAAAAAACCCUUUAUUCCCUCCCAUACACUUUAUAAAUCUACAGGAUUAGAGAAACAGAAUCAUCUAGACAUUUCUGGUGGUAAUGGAAAAUUGUUCAACCACUCUGGAAAAUUGUUUGGCAUUUUCCUAUAAAACUAAACAUGAAAUUACCAUAUGACCCAGAAAUUGCAC
rnacentral:lncRNA from 10 species